UUAGACCUGUUGAACAUAUUUGGUGUCAAAUUUCAAGAAGCAUUGUAUUAAAAGCAUUGUAAGCCUAAGAAGUUUAUAGAAUCCAGAAUCCACUGGCACCAAUAGUGUUGUUUUUUUUUUUUGUUUUUUUUUUCAAAUAAAUGGAGCUCCAGCCCAACAAGUCCUCCAACCCAUACGACUGUAUAGGUCGUUUGUCACUAUCCCCAAAUACGACCCAUAGUAACGUACUGGCAUAAAGUUGGCUUGAAGUUGGACGUUCGAUAUUUGCAAAUCUAGGGACCGUCUCUAAAGUUACAUGCGAAACUACUAUACACUUCUCUAACGUCAAUAGCAUGCAAGGAGAAUGACUAACAGUCAUGAAAACAACUGUUAACUGUUCAUCCAGGUGUCAACUAUAAUGCACACCUUUUAUAUUUUUUGAUAAUUAUUAAAAUAAACUGUAAAUCAUAUGUAAAAUAUUGCUAAUUUUCAUUACCGAAUGGGCUGAAAAGUAGCAAUAUUACUUCACAGGUAAUGUCGAAGACAUUUAGUUAUAAUUGAUUUACUUUAAUUAAUUUAUCCUUACUUUAUGUGUUAAUAACCUUCCUUAUAGUCCUUCCUUUCAAAUAUUUUGUUCACAGAUCAUUUCUAACACAUGUCUCAACAUGUAUGUAUUAAAACAACAACAACAUUUUCCUUUUUCUUUAUUUCAGUUGAAAAGGAAGACCAAAGGAAGGCCUGUCAAACUCUUGUUUGUGGAGAGGGAUGAAUUUGACCAUCUUGUGUUUACGGAGAAGACCAAAAGCUGCAAAGGCAAACAUUUCCAAUGGUACGUCUGUGUUGGUCUGAGCACCUUGACAGAACUUUACUGUAGUUACUUAAACUUUUUUACAUACGACCCCAUCAGUACGUGCCCUGUGCUACGUCAAAGUAUUAAUAAUUCAUACAAUUUCAGCAAAUUCAUGAUAUUGUACAAGCGUACUCUACAGCUUUUACUCCUGCUCUCAUUGACCAUUGCUUCAACUCUCAGGCAGACUGUGCCCACUGUAAGUCGUCAGAGCGUUUAUAUCCUAAAGUUUAUAUUGAGUCCACUGUAUUCUUUAUUAGCGCCGUCUCUUCCCGUUCUAACAGUACAUGAUAUCUGUCCACACAGAUUGUUAAAAUCACUUUUUUGA
ensembl:lncRNA